rnacentral:tRNA from 1 species
GGAAGUGUGUCCGAGUGGUUGAAGGAGCACGCCUGGAACGCGUGUAUGCGGGAAACCGUAUCGGAGGUUCGAAUCCUCUCGCUUCCGCCA